CCUACGGGACGCACCAGUGGGGAAUAUUGCACAAUGGGCGCAAGCCUGAUGCAGCCAUGCCGCGUGUGUGAAGAAGGCCUUCGGGUUGUAAAGCACUUUCAGCGGGGAGGAAGGCGGUGAGGUUAAUAACCUCAUCGAUUGACGUUACCCGCAGAAGAAGCACCGGCUAACUCCGUGCCAGCAGCCGCGGUAAUACGGAGGGUGCAAGCGUUAAUCGGAAUUACUGGGCGUAAAGCGCACGCGGGCGGUCUGUCAAGUCGGAUGUGAAAUCCCCGGGCUCAACCUGGGAACUGCAUUCGAAACUGGCAGGCUAGAGUCUUGUAGAGGGGGGUAGAAUUCCAGGUGUAGCGGUGAAAUGCGUAGAGAUCUGGAGGAAUACCGGUGGCGAAGGCGGCCCCCUGGACAAAGACUGACGCUCAGGUGCGAAAGCGUGGGGAGCAAACAGGAUUAGAUACCCGAG
rnacentral:rRNA from 1 species